rnacentral:misc_RNA from 1 species
AAGCAAACGCGGUCAACGAGGGCAGACACGUUUUAGCAGAUCCGUCGAAAUUUCAAAGUUUCGAUGAAAAGCUUUAUUACUUAAAGAAUAGCAGACCAAAGGUUUAUGUGAACGUACGAGGCCAUAGCGGUUCUUUUCACAAAGGCGUAACAUCUAGAACGACUACUAUUCACGAUCCUAUAGAAUUUCUUAGAGUGACACCUCCUCUGCAAAGGCAAACCGACUGGACAUCUCAUCGCAAUAAAAUAAUUCGACCGUUAAAAAAAAUUGACCAUCAAACUAAUACAAAACGCGAAUAUGAUAAUCUCUCCACUACUGAGAGCUCCAUGGUGACUUCCAGCGAGUUACCGAAACAGAUACCAGCACCACCGUCCAAAUUUCCAAGUAGAAUAUUAAUGGUACAGACCACGCCUGUUCAAAGAUAUGCUU